UCCCCGAUGGUCUGCUGGCAGGCCAGCUGGCUUCUGGUGCCAGCCUCCGUUGGUUCGAUUCCAGCUCGGGGAG
rnacentral:tRNA from 1 species